CCCACCACCAAGCCCACUGCUCCCCCCUUCUUCCUCCAGUGUUUGAUUCCCCUCUCCCUUCUCCCCGUCUCUGCAUAAUAGAAGGUUUUUGCCCCUUCCAUGUCCGAUUCCUGAGCUAAUCUAUGAAUAAACCGGCGGUGUCUUGAAGAUUUUCCCGAAGAAUGUUAAGAGUCUGGCCGCUGCUCACCACCUCUGCAAACAGGCGUUGGAUGUGACGGUUCUUGAAGGUGGCUACGAAUUUAGGCCCAAAAAUAGAACUCUUGCUCCAGAUGAUGUUGGCAUUCGAGGAAUCUUCUCUGUUUUGUGUUGAGCCAUCAGCAAACUUGUUGGCGGAUUCCAACGGUGAGCUAGAGGAGUUUUAUGCUAUGCAGUUGUACGAAGCUUGAGAAGCUGAGUGCUUGUUAAGUAUUUUGAUAAAGUUGGCUCCACCUGGAUUUUGAAAACUGAGAAGAGGAUUUUUUGUUGCAAAUUUGAAGUACUAUCAUUUCCAUUUACUUAUUCUGCUUCUGCUGCCAGUCUUUUUGUUACAAUCCUUGGUAGGAGUAUUAAUUUGUAAAAGUUUCAUGGAUUGUAAGUGUAUUUAUUUCGUCUACCAAUUUGUGGGAAUUCAAGUAGCUAUUUAUUCUGGUACUGAAGGUUGGCAAGUUUUGGCCAUGUAACCUUUCACUGUUUUAUC